UGGGAUGGCCUGACUUUGAGCUGUUGAAUUCGGGGCCGUAACACUGUCUGAGAGGUUUAUAUUUCUCACAGUGAACCGGUCUCUUUUUCAGCUGCUUCCUGGCUUCCUUUUUAAAG
rnacentral:pre_miRNA from 7 species